rnacentral:rRNA from 1 species
UAGGGAAUAUUAGACAUGGACGAAAGUCUGAUCUAGCAACACCGCGUGUGCGCAGAAGGCCUUCGGGUCGUAAAGCACUUUUUGGAAGGAAUAGGAAGGAAUGUACUUCCAGAAUAGUCUCGGCUAACUACGUGCCAGCAGCCGCGGUAACACGUAGGAGGCAAACGUUAUCCGGAUUUACUGGGCGUAAAGCGCGUGUAGGUGGUACUGUAAGUAGGGCGUGAAAGCUCCUGGCUCAACUGGGAGAGGCCGUUCUAAACUACAGAACUAGAGGAUGGUAGAGGGAGGUGGAAUUCCAGGUGUAGCGGUGGAAUGCGCAGAUAUCUGGAGGAACACCGGUGGCGAAGGCGGCCUCCUGGACCAUUCCUGACACUCAGACGCGAAAGCUAGGGUAGCAAACG